CCACUGUCUCCGUCUGCUUCUCCACUGUCUCCAUCUGCUUGUCCUCGUCCUCCUUCUCUUCAAGCCUCUGGUCAUAUUCCACAUUUUCAGCUUCCUUCUGCUCUUCAUUGACCAAUUUGCUUCCAGCAACCUUCCCUUGGUUUGUUUGGGGACAGGGAACAAGGUUGCUUUGAGGAAAUGGGUGACAGGGUUUCAUUCUUUUCUGCGAGUUCCUCUGAGUGCUGAACCUGAAACACAACCAGGGUUUUCCAGCUGCAUAGCAGACCUGGGCGUGAAGACAAGAGAGAGCCUGCCUGCAACUUCUAACUACCAUGACUGGAAGGCAUUUAGCCCUACCCUCAUGAAACUAAAUUUAAAGGAGAUAGAUUUGUUCUACAUGUCUAUACAUUUGCUGUUUGAUAAAACAAAUCUGCAAAAGACAAGUUUGUGAAAAAUUGCCCUUUUCCUAGAGUGAUAGGUCACUUCUAAUGGGAUACUUUUACAAACCGCAGCUUUAUCUACUGCUCUGAAGAGGAGCAUUUUCACUGGAUACAUGUUGGUUAAGGCAGGAGAAGACUUGAAGAUUGUUUUCUUGUGACCUUCCCCAUCAAAACUUUCUGUUUAUUGAUACUACAGCAGUACCCUUCACUUGUUUAAAACUGGUUUUACUAUUGACUAUAGUCCUUAAGGUCUCUGAAUAGGGUGUGUAACAUUGGUUGGGCUGAAAAUGGCAUAUUUUCUGUUCUUUGAGCCCUAAUGCAGGCCUGGUUAAAAGGCCAGGAAUGAAACAACAGCUUUUCUUCCUUUUAUGGUAUGUUCAUGAAUAUUUAGAUGAGCUGUGCACUGAUUGGUUGGUUUACAAAGAGGGGAGCUGCUGAGCAAAGAUACAUUAUAGCAACAAGCACUCACUCACUGAAACAUCGAGGUUGUUGGUAUGGUAGGAUUACCUCUUUUUCCUGGACAUGUCUGAGUUUUCAUACCUAAAAAAAAUGUCCGCAGGGGAUUUCAAAAUCGUCCGGGAUU